CCUACGGGUGGCAGCAGUGAGGAAUAUUGGUCAAUGGGCGCGAGCCUGAACCAGCCACGUAGCGUGAAGGAUGACUGCCCUACGGGUUGUAAACUUCUUUUAUAAAGGAAUAAAGUGAGGCACGUGUGCCUUUUUGUAUGUCCUUUAUGAAUAAGGAUCGGCUAACUCCGUGCCAGCAGCCGCGGUAAUACGGAGGAUCCGAGCGUUAUCCGGAUUUAUUGGGUUUAAAGGGAGCGUAGAUGGGUGGUUAAGUCAGUUGUGAAAGGUUGCGGCUCAACCGUAAAAUUGCAAUUGAUACUGGCAGUCUUGAGUACAGGUGAGGUAGGUGGAAGUCGUGGUGUAGCGGUGAAAUGCAUAGAUAUCACGAAGAACUCCGAUUGCGAAGGCAGCUUACUAAACUGCCACUGACAUUGAUGCUCAAAAGUGUGGGUAUCAAACAGGAUUAGAUACCCGUGUAGUC
rnacentral:rRNA from 1 species